CAAAAACAUACAGAAGCAUAUCAACAACAGAGAGUUAAAUAACAGUUGAUAAAAAGUGCAUCAAGCGACACAUUCGAGAAGUGACAAGCGAUAAACUUUUAAAUUUAUCACCGCACCAUGCUGCGGAUUUUAUUGCUGAAGCAAUUGUGUGGUAUUACUUAAGUGAUGUAAAGCUACCUGUUUCUAAGUACUAGUGCCGCAGGAGUUCAUUUUCUACCUCCUGCUGCUCAAGUGCUUAUCAAUAGAGUAGUUUGUAACAACAUAAAAAAACUAAAAAGUUUAAACAUAAGAUAAUGUCAACGACGCUCGGUUCCAUCAAAACUGGCUCCAAACAGCGAUGAACAGCAGACCCAAGAAUUUCAUCGAGUAAAAAGUGUACCAAACUGUUAAACAAAUCAAACAACAUGAGAAUAUCUAUUAAAAUGCAUUUUAAACAAAAA